rnacentral:rRNA from 1 species
UACGAAGGGACCUAGCGUAGUUCGGAAUUACUGGGCUUAAAGAGUUCGUAGGUGGUUGAAAAAGUUAGUGGUGAAAUCCCAGAGCUUAACUCUGGAACCGCCAUUAAAACUUUUCAGCUAGAGUAUGAUAGAGGAAAGCAGAAUUUCUAGUGUAGAGGUGAAAUUCGUAGAUAUUAGAAAGAAUACCAAUUGCGAAGGCAGCUUUCUGGAUCAUUACUGACACUGAGGAACGAAAGCAUGGGUAGCGAAGAGGAUUAGAUACCCUCGUAGUCCAUGCCGUAAACGAUGUGUGUUAGACGUUGGAAAUUUAUUUUCAGUGUCGCAGCGAAAGCGAUAAACACACCGCCUGGGGAGUACGACCGCAAGGUUAAAACUCAAAUGAAUUGACGGGGACCCGCACAAGUAGUGGAGCAUGUGGUUUAAUUCGAAGAUACGCGCAGAACCUUACCAACACUUGACAUGUUCGUCGCGACUCUAAGAGAUUAGAGUUUUCGGUUCGGCCGGACGAAACACAGGUGCUGCAUGGCUGUCGUCAGCUCGUGUCGUGAGAUGUUGGGUUAAGUCCCGCAACGAGCGCAACCCUCACUUUUAGUUGCCAUCAUUAAGUUGGGCACUCUGAAAGAACUGCCAGUGAUAAGCUGGAGGAAGGUGGGGAUGACGUCAAGUCCUCAUGGCCCUUACGUGUUGGGCUACACACGUGCUACAAUGGUAUCUACAACAAGAAGCAAGACUGCGAGGUCAAGCAAAUCCUUAAAAGAUACCUCAGUUCGGAUUGCACUCUGCAACUCGAGUGCAUGAAGCUGGAAUUACUAGUAAUCGUGGAUCAGCGUGCCACGGUGAAUGCGUUCCCGGGUCU